CACUCAGUGACCUAGUGGUUAGAGCAUCCACCGCGGAUGCGGGAGGUCGCGGGUUCGAACCACGACUGAGUUA